UAUGUGAUCGUCUCUCGCAUAUCAAUAAGCGGAGGAAAAGAAACUAACAAGGAUUCCCCUAGUAACGGCGAGUGAAGCGGGAAGAGCUCAAAUUUGAAAUCUUAAAGGGUUUCCCUUUACGAAUUGUAGUUUAAAGAAGUGUUUUCUGUUGAGGUUUUGGUAAAAGUUCUUUGGAAUAGGACAUCAUAGAGGGUGAGAAUCCCGUAUUUGACCUUUACUUUCAACUUUGUGAUACACUUUCAAAGAGUCGGAUUGUUUGGGAAUGCAGUCCAAAAUGGGUGGUAAAUUUCAUCUAAAGCUAAAUAUUGGCGAGAGACCGACAGCGAACAAGUACCGUGAGGGAAAGAUGAAAAGAACUUUGAAAAGAGAGUUAAACAGUACGUGAAAUUGUCAAAAGGGAAGCGUUUGACACCAGUGUUGUUUUUCUGAAAAUCAAUUAAAGAACUGUUUAUGCUAAGUUGUUUAGACUUUAUCAGCUAACUGUUUAGUUUUGAGCUUUUCUUUAAUGCACUUUUCAGUUAACAAGUCAACAUCAAUUUCUUUUGCUGUAAAAAAGCUUGAGGAAGGUGGCUUGAGAUUCGUCUUAAGUGUUUAUAGCCUCUUGCCUAUGCAGUCGGAGAGAUUGAGGUCUGCAGCGUAGAUCCUUCGGGGCUAAAUGCAUUUGUGCUAAGUUAUAGCAUUUUAUAGACAACUUGUUGACUAUGAUUUGUCUUGUAGCUUACUCGCUUAUGUUAUUUUACCUACGCUUAGGAUGUUGACACACGCGCGUGCUCG
rnacentral:rRNA from 1 species